GGCAAUGUCAUCUGCAAUUCUCUAUAAAAUUCUUGAAUAUGUAUGGUCCCUAUGGCCAAGGGAGGGAGUUUGUUCUACACAAUGGGCAAAUUCUUCAUACUGAGUAUCAUGAAAAUGCUGUUCAUGUUGGAUACAUACAGGAAAAUGAAGGUGUAUAUGUAUACAGUAUGCAAUUACCUCCAACCAUCUUCCUGUCGGCAGAUCUCAGUUGGCAUCAGACAUGCUUGCAUCCCCUAUUUCUUCACCUCUCUCAUAUAGUCCAAGGCAUAAGGCAUAUAAGUUUCUUUUGUGCACUACUAUUGGGACAAAGAAGUGCAUCCCCUAUUUCUUCACCUCUCUCAUAUAGUCUAAGGAAUAUAAGUUUCUUUUGUGCACUACUAUUGGGACAAAGAAGUGCAGUUACCUUUUUCCCACAAUGUCCAAGAUAUACUGAAGAUGCUCUUCAUAUUGUCUUUUGUAAUUUUCACUUCUAUAUGUUGUGGAUCCUCCUCAAUUUGAUGCCGACUUAUUCAAACAAUAUGUACAACUGCUAUAGCAUGAAUGUUGCCUUGCCUUCACUUAUGGGCUGGAUGUUUCCAAUUGCUUUUCUCCGGUUCUGUGACUUCAUUAAGCACAGGCUACAAUACCUUACCUGCUGUAUACUUGUUAUCAUCUCAUGCUGCCUGCUUUUGUAUCUGGAUUCGCUUCUUUAUGGUGGUCAACUGACUUCAUUAGCCUAUCAUCUACAAGGGAUCAACUGACUUCAUUAGCCUCUCAUCUACAGGGGUUCUCUCUGUUAUGUAGUCUGCUAGUACUCUGGUUUUGUAAUAUAUCACAGUGGUCUUUCUUUUUUUCAGUACAAAUUCAUUCCAUACGAUGUCGUCACUCGUGUAUGUUAUUUUGGGUUCAUUGUACUCAGGCCUUUUGAUUCUUUAUGCUCGUACCUUUUACUCAAUGAAUCAAUGAAAUUCUACUCCAAUCAGGCCUUUUGAUUCUUUAUGCUCGUACCUUUUACUCAAUGAAUCAAUGAAAUUCUACUCCAACAACAACUCAAUGAAUCAAUGAAAUUCUACUCCAAUCAGGCCUUUUGAUUCUUUAUGCUCGUACCUUUUACUCAACAACAACAACAACAACAACAACAACAACAACAACAACAAAUUCCAAUUUAAAAAAUAAAAAUAAGCUAAACGUUAACCUCUAUUUCUACUCCCAACAAUUUCUCACACUUACAGUACGUAGGCACGCAUGUCCACUAUCUUGGUCACGGGCAAGUUUGAGAAAGACCUCUCCAGCCAAAUCAUGAAAAGGAAAAGAAAGAAAAUAAAAACCUUAAAAAUUCUCAUAGAAAGACUUUUUUUUUUUGAUCUUUGGGAUUAAUAUCUAAUUGGC
rnacentral:lncRNA from 1 species